CACAAGUUAUGUUUUGUUAUACUAAUCCAACCAACUAAUUGGAAUAGGGAGAAGGAACAUCAAGUGGAGCAACUCCAAACAAGAGGCAGAGAAAUGAGGUCAACAGAGCAGCUGCACCAAAGGGGUCUACUAACGUCAAGGACCAAGUUAUCAAGUCUAGGAAAACAUGGAAGAAAAUCAAGCAAACUGUGGAGAGUAUUUCGGGUCCCAAUGUUGGUGCCUCAACAUCACAAUCAAAUCAGCAGCCUCCCACUCAAAGUAGCCAGAAUCCGGCAGCUGGGAGUGCUCAAUGGAAAGCAUCAGAGCCUAUGCAACCAAGCCAAGCUUCAUCUGAAUAUGCAGCAUUUUAAUCCAAUUUGAACUAUUGGUUUUUGUUAUUGCUUAACGCUUACCUUUUGCUAAACUAUCAGUCAACAUUAAGCACUUGUUGCUUAUGCAUUUUGCUGGAUAAAUUAUGUAUGAGUCAUUUGUCAAUGGAUGAUUCAAUUCUUAUGAUCUUUUUCAUAUUAAAGUGAUUGAUUGAAUUAGCUUUUAUGUUCA